CUUUUUUAAAGAGACUUAUUUGAUCCUCAGGUGAGCUGGACCCAGAAAGAAUGGGCUCAGGUAUUCAGUACGGAGAUGCUGCCUUGAGACAGCUGCGGUCCCCGCGUCGUGCACAGGCCCCAAGCGCGCAGGAGUGUGGCUGCUAGAAGCAGCACGGGAGAACGCAGGACAGAAGCAGAUGGAAUACUUCCUAACUCUCAUUAUGAGUCCAGCAUUACCCUAAUUCCAAAACCAGACAAAGACAUCACAAGAAAACAAAACUACAGACUGAAACAUGGCUGCAGAAAUCCUCAAUGAAAUAUUAACAAAUCAAACUCAAAACAUAUAUGAAUUACAUACCACUUCCAAGUGGGAUUUAUCCCAAGUAUGGAAACCUGGUUCAGCAUUCCAAAGUCAAUUAAUGUCAUCCAUCCCAUCAGCACGCUAAAGAAGAAAAAUCUUAUGAUCCUAUCAAGAGACGAGAAAAGCCAUUUGACAAAUUCUAACACCUAUGAUAAUGAAAAGUCUUAGUAAACUAGGCAUUGAGCAGAAUUUCCUCAAUUUGAUAAAGAAUAUGUACAGAAAAAAACCCUACAGCUAAUAUCAUACUUACUGUGGGAAACUUGAAGCUUUGCCACUAAUAUCAGGUACAAGGUAAGGAUGUCGCUCUCCACCACCCCUUUUCAGAAUCAUGCUGAACAUUCUAGCUAAUGCAGUAAGAAAAAAAAGGGAAAGAGAAGAUACGCAGAUUGGGAAGGAAGAAAUGAACUGUCUUUGUACAUGUUUAUGUUGAAAAUCCAAAAGAAUCCACAAACUCCUAUAUAAGCAAUUAUAUAACAAGGUUGAAAGAUCCAGAGUUAAUGCACAGAAGUCCAUCACUCUUCUAUAUAUUAGCAAUGAACAAGUGGAAUUUAAAAUUAAAAACACAGUACCAUGUUAGCACCCAAAAAAGGAAAUACUUAGGUAUAACUCCAACAAAAUGUGUACAAGAUCUAUAUGAGGAAAGGCAGACUGGUUCUAAAGUUUACAUGAGGAGGCAAAAGACCCAGCAUAGCCCACACAGUAUUAAAGGAGAAGAACAAAGUUGUAGGAUUGUCACGACCCAACUUCAAGGCACUAUUAAGCUGCAGUAGUCAAGAUGGGUGGUGCUGGUGAAAGAAAAAGUCAAUCACUGGAACAGAAUAGCAAGCCCAGAAAUACACCCACAUAAAUACAAUCAACUGACCUUUGGCAGAGCAGCAAAGAUACAGAAGCACAAUGGAGCAAAGAUAGUUUUUUCGACAAAUGGUGCUGGAACCUACUGUCCAUCCACAUGCAAAAAAAACAAAAAAAACAGCGAAUCUAGACACAGAAUUUACACUCUUCAUAGAAACUAACUCAAAAUGAAUGAUAGACCUAAACAUAAAACUGUAAAAAUCCUAAAAAUAACAUAGGAGGAAACUUAGAUGCACUUGACUGUGAUGAUUUUUUAGAUACAACACCAAAGGCACAAUCUAUGGAAGACAUAAUUGAUAGACUGGACUCCGUUGCAAGUAAAAACUGCUCUGUAAAUGGCAAUGUCAGGAGAAUGAGUAGACAAGCUACCGACUAAGAAAAGUAUUUCCAAAAGGCAUACCUAAUAAAGGAUCAUUACCCAAAUAUACAAGAAGUCUUAAAAUUUAACAGUACAAAACCAACCAACCUGACUAAAAAAUGGGCCAAAGAUCUUAACAAAUACCUCACCAAAGAAGAUAGAGACAUGGCAAUAAGUAUAUGAAAAGAAGCUGCACAUCACUGUCAUGAGAGAAAUGCAAAUUAAAACAGCAACUUAUGACACACCUGGUAAAAUGGCCAAAAUUCAAGGCACUGACAUCAUCAAAUGCUGCCGAGGAUGUGGAGCCCUGGGAAUUCUCUCUCCGUGCUGGUGGGAAUGCGGAAUGGCACAGCCACUUUGGAGUACAGGUCGGCAGCUUCUUACAAAACUAUACCUACUCUUACCUUAUGGCUCAGUAGUCUCACUCCUUGGUAUUUACCCAACGGAGUUGAAAACUCACAUCUGUACAGAAACCUGCCACAUGGAUGUUUGUAACAACCUUAUUCAUAAUUGCCAAAACUUGGAAGCAACCAGCAAAUGGAUAAACCCUGACACACCCAGACAAUGGAAUGUACUCAGGACUAAAAAGAAACAAGCUUUCAAGCCAUGAAAAAACAUGGAGGAAUCCUGAGUGCAUAUCACUCAGUGAAAGAAGCCAAUCUGAAAUGGCUGUAUACUGUAUGAUUCCCACUAUAUAAUAUUCUGGAAAAGGCAAAACUGUGAACACAGUAGAAAGCUCAGUGGUUUCCAGGGGUUUGGGGAGGAGGGAUGAACCAGCAAAGUGCACUGGGUUUUUAGGGAAGUGAAAAUGCCUGUGUAAUACCAUGAGGAUAGACACAUGUCAUUAUAUAUUUGUCCAAACCCACAUAACGUAUGUACACCACCACAGAUGAACUGUAACAUAAACAGUGGACUUUG